rnacentral:miRNA from 1 species
CAUGGCUGGAAUGUGGUCAUGGAUG